ensembl:lncRNA
UAAUGGUCCCUCCUACCCUACAUUAAGUUAUACAUUAUAACUUAAUAGAGAUGAUGUCUAUAUCCCUUAACAAAUUGAAUUUAAAAUGUUGCAGCAGCUGCACAUAUAAUAGAAUCUACAAACUCUUCAGUAACCUAUUUAAUUAUAAGCUUUAUUUUAGCCAGUAAUAGAAGGUGCACAAGGAUGUGCAGAAUUUGGGGCUAUGGCCAAGAAGCCACCUGCCUUUUACAAUAUCACUUUGUAUCAAAAAUCAAAUGCACUUACCUUGUCUUUGUGAUUAAUGUAAAUAUGUACCCAUUCAACAUCUCUCUAUUUAUUUUUUUAAGAACCAACAGUUACAGAUCACAAGAACAAGGUAUUUCAGGGGCAACAAUGUUGACGUAAAACUCCAGACAACUAAAUUCACCUUUCCACUCUCCCAGGAACUUUCUCAGAAAAUCACAGCCAUGACUACAAAGAUCUUUAGGACUACAAAAUUGCUAAAAUGUGCUUUGUGGAAAUCACAGAAAUGCACAAAAGCAUGUUAGAUAAUUAACUCUUUGAUAGUCCAGGGUAUUUAUGAGUGCAAUUCCCACGUGCUGGACAAGGAUAAUGGGGUGCCAUCACCUUACAGAGAGGUGAUGAGGAUACAUGUACUAAGAUUCUGUGCAGUUCUGAGACUACAGAAACAGGAGCCAGAUGGUUCACACACUGAAAAGUGUUCAAUUAAAGCUUUAUAUUUUUUAAAGUGAGGCUCGUGCUUACAUCUAUUUAAACCAGUAUGUACAUGAUAGUUUAUCCAAGCUAUUCUGCCAAUAUAACACCAGAUACACAGCGAAACAAGACUAAAAUAUACCUGUUAUACCCAACAGAUCCACUAUGACGAGCUCUAGCAAAUUUCUUGGUGCUGCAAUUUCAGCUAACACAUGAUGUCCACGUAGGUGCACGGCACAUCCUUACAACAGCUUGCAACCGAUUCUACUACCUGCCGAUGCAUCUGUUUUGUACCUGAUGUUAAUGUGGUCUAUAAAUGAAGCCGCACACUCAUGCAUUUUUCUCCCUUCAUCCAAGCCACCAGGACAACAAAGAGAUGGCAUAAAUAAUUCACAGUAUGCUACCAAGAAAAACAAAGCUAUAGCACUUACCUAUCAUCUUAGCUGCAGUACUGGUCCAGCAAUGCAACUGGGCUGUCUGCAGACAUGCUUUCCCAUCUUCCUGGCACACGCUACUGGAGGAGAAGGAGGGGUUUUGCACUCAUUUGCUCUCUCUAAAAUGAUAUGAGAAAGAAAUAUGAGAAAGAAUAUUAACAGACUACAAUUACAAACCUUAUUUUCCUGGGACACAAAGUAGAGGUUAUUUUACAAGUUGAGGUAUAUUAAUUUAUUAAUACAUGGCAUAAUAAUUGAUACUAUUAAUAAUUAAAUCUUAUGCUCAAAAUUGAAUACAGUGGAGAUUAACAAAUCCAUUGGCAUGAAACAAGGUAUGCCAGUAUCCAUUUGUUGAGUGUCCCAUAACAACUUGUAUUUAGAAGCUCAAUGAAUCUCUGACCAAGCCUACUGGUAAAUCUUCCCAUCUGCUACGAUGUCUACACUGCUCAUUUACUUCCCUGGGUGCACUGCAAGAUACAAAAGCUACCUUUUUUUUUGGCAAAAGUCAAGAAUAGCUACUCAGUUAAAUCUAAAAUUUAUUAGCACGUAAAAUCAUGCCUGUGCUGUUACUGUAUUCUGCAUAUAUAAUACACGAAUAACAAGCAUGAACGUAACCGCUACUGAAUUUUUUUGAAUAAAACUUGAAGCCUCACUUGCA